UACAUGGGGUGCAAACGUUGCUCGGAAUUAUUGGGCGUAAAGGGCUCGUAGGCGGUUUGUCACGUCGGGAGUGAAAACUCGGGGCUUAACCCCGAGCCUGCUUCCGAUACGGGCAGACUAGAGGUAUGCAGGGGAGAACGGAAUUCCUGGUGUAGCGGUGAAAUGCGCAGAUAUCAGGAGGAACACCGGUGGCGAAGGCGGGUCUCUGGGCCGAUACUGACGCUGAGGAGCGAAAGCGUGGGGAGCGAACGGG
rnacentral:rRNA from 1 species